UGACCGAUACUGGGCCAGGUGCAGUCGUGGGACAGCCGCCGCCUCCCGGCCUUAACCCCUUCGCCGCCGCAGGUCACGCCCCCCACCCUCCACCUUCGCUGAAAUCCCAGAGCGCUGGCGCUGGUACCGGGGGCGGUGCCGGGAGGAGCUCGGGAUCGGGGCGUGGAGCUGGGUGACCACACGCCAGAGAAGUCGAGACGACUCCUCCCACGUGACAGCGAGGCUGGCGCCGGAUGCAGUGGCGACCGGACCUCCGCGGCGAGGGGGAGGGGGCGGUUCCGGAGACUUCCGGCUUGAGGCUGGGCCGCAACAGCCCCCUCCCCCAACCUCCACACCCGCGCGACCCCCAGCCUGUCCCUAAGAGCCCCAGGGAUGACCACUCCCCAACGCUAGGAGCCCGACCUCCUCCCUCCCGGUCCCCACCCACCACUUUCUCUGGAAUGUUCAAGAAGAAAACCUCCAGCCAACUGGUUUUUCAGCUUGCCAGCCCUAAGGGCCCAGGACUCUGGCAAACCCUUCCUGCAAGAGAAGAGGAGAGACUGCCAGAGGAACUGGACCCUGUUCCCUGAUGAGCCGCCCGCCCGGCCGGUCAGGCGACGUGCCCAUUCAUUCUGAUGCACACCCUGACCCGUCAAACCUCACCACCUGGCUCACCACUCCUCUCCGCGUUGUGCCUCAACCUUCGUGGUGCAAACACAAGAACCUGUCUUCCAAUCAUCUCCGGGGUCCCCGGCGGGCACGGGGAAGGCCAGUUCUACAACACUUCCCGGUAGUCUCUGGCAGGUGCUUUGAGGACAUGGGUACAAGAGAUUCUCUUCAACCGGAGGAAUCGAGGGGGAGGGGGCGGCUACAGUGGAUCUUGAAGGAUGUAUAGGAAGUCUUCUACACAACCUAAUGUCUGUGAGGCGGACACAGCACCCAGCUGGCAGGGGAGAAGCCACUGGGUGCCCGCCUGGGAGGGGAAUGGAGAUUAGGGACCAUCAGCCACGACCAGGUUCCAACUCCCAGCUUGGGGGUUGUGAUGGAACCACUCCCCCCGCAAGCUGGCUGCUACAGAAUUCCCCCACCCCCACAAACUGGGUUCACCUGCCCGAUGCAGGGCCAGACAACCAGACUCGGGGGCGAUGGGGGAAAAGCAGGUGUGUAUUGCAAAGCGCAGAGCAAGGAGUCCGGUCGCCAAGGCUCAAGUCCCCAGCUCCCCGAGGGGUCAGGACAGUGGAUGUUUGUGUUCCGCGUGGUUGGUGAGCAGUGUGUGGUCAGUACAGAGCACAUGGCUGUCCUUUGAUGGGCCAGGCACCAGGCCAGCGUGUGCUCUGUCUGCCUCCAAGUGGAGACCGGGCAUUCGUUUCUUCGAGCGGGGACUGUGGGUUCCAGCGAAAAUUCUCAGAAUAGAGACCUGCACUGAGAUGUUAAUUGUGUUAACUCCGGGUCUGUAUCAUUUAGGGUCUCUUGUCUUUGUGUCAGUCCCUUAACAGCGUGCUGAUUAUUUUUUUAACAAAUUGUAUUUAUUUGAGAGGCAGAGUGGAAAGAGAGAGAUCAUCCAUCCGCUGGUUCGCUCCCCAAAUGGCUCCUGUGGCCAGGAGCUAGGAGCCAGGACUCCAUCCAGGUCUCCCACGUGGAUGCAGGAGCCUAAACACUUGGGCCAUCUUCCGCCACCUGCAGUGAGCAGCCAGGACUCAACCGGCACUCUGCUAGGGGAUCGGGGUGUUCCAAGCGGAGGCUUAGCCGCUGCGCCACCACCUCAGCCCGCAAGCCGGGGCAGAGAUACUGGGUCUUGAUACGAGAGAGAGCACACACGCUCCCGUCCACGGCUGGGAGCCAAGACCCCAACCACUUUAGCCAUCACUGGGUGAAGCACUGGCAGCCAGGGGAACCCAGGCUCUGAGGUGUGGGGCGCUGCCGUCAGCCGCCAUCGCUU